rnacentral:lncRNA from 1 species
UGCUUGUGACACAUUGAGGACAAUGUGUAGCUUAAGCGUUGUCUAUUGGGGGAGAUUCUGAUUUUUCUUUGUUAGUUAUGUUUUCUGCGUUAAAUUUUUCGUUUUCUAGGUAGUUUUUGUUGUGUUUUGCGUACAGUUUUGCAUGUUUCUCUUAAUUUUAUUGACUUUGUUUAGGUUGUUAGUUUUUCCUUCACUUCAUUGAUACUCUAAUUUAUGGAUUCCUUGCUUUUCUUUGCUUGGAAAGAUGACUAUGAUGUUUGAGAGGUUG